UCAGAGGGUCGGGCGGCCGCGUCAUGCCAUGCGCAUGUCGAGGAAAGUCCGGGCUCCGCGGAACAACGGUGGCGGGUAACGCCCGCCGGGGGCGACCCCAGGGACAGUGCCACAGAGAGCAGACCGCCUGCCUUCGGGCAGGCAAGGGUGAAAGGGUGCGGCAAGAGCGCACCGCGUGCCUGGUAACAGGUGCGGCAAGGUAAACCCCACCGGGAGCAAGACCGAAUAGGGGCGGUACGGGGCCGAAAGGCACCAGGGCGUGUUCCCGCCCACUGCCCGGGUUGGUUGCUGGAGACGGCGCGCAAGCGUCGUCCGAGAGGAAUGGUCGCCUAUCCUUCCCCUGCGGAAGGUGGACAGAACCCGGCUUACAGACCCUCUGGCACU
rnacentral:RNase_P_RNA from 1 species